UACGUAGGGUGCGAGCGUUAAUCGGAAUUACUGGGCGUAAAGCGUGCGCAGGCGGUUGUGUAAGACAGGUGUGAAAUCCCCGGGCUUAACCUGGGAAUUGCAUUUGUGACUGCACGACUAGAGUGUGUCAGAGGGGGGUGGAAUUCCACGUGUAGCAGUGAAAUGCGUAGAUAUGUGGAGGAACACCAAUGGCGAAGGCAGCCCCCUGGGAUAACACUGACGCUCAUGCACGAAAGCGUGGGGAGCAAACAGG
rnacentral:rRNA from 1 species